rnacentral:lncRNA from 1 species
GUUCAUCCUCACUGCCAUGGUGGCUCAACCUAGAAAAGUGAUCUUCACAGAGAAAGGCCUAGAGAAGGGCCUGGUCCCCUCCCAAACCUCUCCCGGCUCCCCUGGCUGGGUUCUCGCUGAGGGCUGCACGACGAGGCCACCCCUCAUGAGGGUCCCCUGGAGUUCGGUGGGAAAGAGCGAACGAGACGAGCCGCUAUUCAGCCACUUGUGGACCACACGGUCCUACACAGAUGCCGAGUGUCCGGGUGCCUCCAACCACCGGAUGCCUGGCGCAGUCACCCAGGAAGUUAGAGCAGACUGUGGCUGAGGAAAUCAGAAAUCAAAGGUCAGAGAGACCCCAGCUGCUUCUUCCCAUGCUGGUCCCCACAGUGAGGCCUGUGACCCGGUUCCCGGUGCCACACACCUUCACUCAGCUCUCCUCCCCGGCAGUGCCUGACCUCGUCCAGGCCCGACCCUGAAGCGCGAGUCUUGGCUGCUGCCCAGUCUGUCCAGACCUCAGCGAGGCUGCCCCGGCUGCAGAGUAUCCCUGAACACCUGCCAGGCGCUGGUCACUGAUGUUCUCCGGACACACGGACGCCAAAACGCCCCGCUCCAGUUCCAGCCCACUUUUCGCAUUUCCCAGUGCCCGCCGACCUCCGCUGUCUCAUCCCACAGCUGGAAAAGAAUCAAGAACAUGUUGGCCAAUCCACCCAUAUUCUACACACAAGGUGCUGCUCAGAGCAGUGACCAGUCGGGUGAGUGGCCAAGUGCCGGAGGGGGCAGGACCAGAGGAGCCACAGCCCUGUCUUUCCUCCCACGUCACCUCCCACCACGUGGGCCAUUUACGUGGAAGAUGCAUCGUGACACUACUUGAAUUGAAACAGGGCCUUCUGAGGAGUUCAAAACACUUCACCAACCUCCAGGUUGUAUAA